rnacentral:rRNA from 1 species
GACAGAGGGUGCAAGCGUUGUUCGGAAUUACUGGGCGUAAAGCGCGCGUAGGUGGCUUCGUAUGUCGGGUGUGAAAGCCCUUGGCUCAACCAAGGAAGUGCGCCCGAAACUGCGAUGCUCGAGUUUGGGAGAGGAUGGUAGAAUUCUCAGUGUAGAGGUGAAAUUCGUAGAUACUGGGAGGAACACCGGUGGCGAAGGCGACCAUCUGGACCAACACUGACACUGAUGUGCGAAAGCGUGGGUAGCAAACAGG